GAUGAAGAACGCAGCGAAAUGCGAUAAGUAAUGUGAAUUGCAGAAUUCAGUGAAUCAUCGAAUCUUUGAACGCACAUUGCGCCCGCUAGUAUUCUGGCGGGCAUGCCUGUUCGAGCGUCAUUUCAACCAUCAAGCCCCCGGCUUGUGUUGGGGACCUGCGGCUGCCGCAGGCCCUGAAAAGCAGUGGCGGGGUCGCUGUCACACCGAGCGUAGUAGCAUACAUCUCGCUCUGGGCGUGCUGCGGGUUCCGGCCGUUAAACCACCUUCAUAACCCAAGGUUGACCUCGGAUCAGGUAGGAAGACCCGCUGAACUUAAGCAUAUCAAUAAGCGGAGGA
rnacentral:misc_RNA from 1 species